UGUAAGCGUAUACCAAAGUUGUUGCAGUUAAAACGCUCGUAGUCGGAAUUUGGCAGUUCCGGAUGUGUGCACGUCGUGUGCGCACUUCGCGGGGAUUGCUUUUGUGGUCUUGCGUAGGAUGAGGCACUUUUAUUAGUGAACGUCCGCACGCUGCCACUUUUUACUGUGAGAAAAUCAGAGUGCUCAAAGCAGGCAUUUGCCGUGAAUGUAUUAGCAUGGAAUAAUAGAAUAGGACUCGGUUCUAUUUUGUUGGUUUGUUGGGACUGAGUAAUGAUUAAGAGGGACAGUUGGGGGCAUUUGUAUUUCGGCGCUAGAGGUGAAAUUCUUAGAUUGCCGAAAGACAAACUGCUGCGAAAGCGUCUGCCAAGGAUGUUUUCAUUGA
rnacentral:rRNA from 1 species